rnacentral:rRNA from 1 species
GAUGUACGCUGGCGGCGUGCCUAAUACAUGCAAGUCGAGCGAACAGACGAGGAGCUUGCUCCUCUGACGUUAGCGGCGGACGGGUGAGUAACACGUGGAUAACCUACCUAUAAGACUGGGAUAACUUAGGGAAACCGGAGCUAAUACCGGAUAAUAUAUUGAACCGCAUGGUUCAAUAGUGAAAGACGGUUUUGCUGUCACUUAUAGAUGGAUCCGCGCCGCAUUAGCUAGUUGGUAAGGUAACGGCUUACCAAGGCAACGAUGCGUAGCCGACCUGAGAGGGUGAUCGGCCACACUGGAACUGAGACACGGUCCAGACUCCUACGGGAGGCAGCAGUAGGGAAUCUUCCGCAAUGGGCGAAAGCCUGACGGAGCAACGCCGCGUGAGUGAUGAAGGUCUUCGGAUCGUAAAACUCUGUUAUUAGGGAAGAACAAAUGUGUAAGUAACUAUGCACGUCUUGACGGUACCUAAUCAGAAAGCCACGGCUAACUACGUG